GAUGAAGAACGUAGCGAAAUGCGAUAAGUAGUGUGAAUUGCAGAAUUCAGUGAAUCAUCGAAUCUUUGAACGCACAUUGCGCCCUUUGGUAUUCCUUAGGGCAUGCCUGUUCGAGCGUCAUCUAAACCUUCAAGCCCUGCUUGGUGUUGGGUGCCUGUCCCGCCUCCGCGCGUGGACUCACCUCAAAUCCAUUGGCGGCCCCCGCGUCGGCCACGAGCGCAGCAGAAACGCGAACUCGUGAGCCCGUCCGGGCGGCUCCCAGAAGCUAACCCCCAAUUUUUGACCUCGGAUCAGGUAGGGAUACCCGCUGAACUUAAGCAUAUCAAUAGCGGAGGA
rnacentral:misc_RNA from 1 species